CCUACGGGAGGCAGCAGUGGGGAAUAUUGGGCAAUGGGCGCAAGCCUGACCCAGCAACGCCGCGUGAAGGAAGAAGGCUUUCGGGUUGUAAACUUCUUUUGUCAGGGACGAAGCAAGUGACGGUACCUGACGAAUAAGCCACGGCUAACUACGUGCCAGCAGCCGCGGUAAUACGUAGGUGGCAAGCGUUAUCCGGAUUUACUGGGUGUAAAGGGCGUGUAGGCGGGACUGCAAGUCAGAUGUGAAAUCCACGGGCUCAACCUGUGGCCUGCAUUUGAAACUGUAGUUCUUGAGUACUGGAGAGGCAGACGGAAUUCCUAGUGGAGCGGUGAAAGGCGUAGAUAUUAGGAGGAACCCCAGUGGCGAAGGCGGUCUGCUGGACAGCAACUGACGCUGAGGCGCGAAAGCGGGGGGAGCAAACAGGAUUAGAUACCCCGGUAGUC
rnacentral:rRNA from 1 species